CCCAGUGGAAAAAAUAAAGAGGAUCCUGACGGCAAGGCUAUGUGAUUUACAAAACGUUGCUCUACAGCCCAAAACCAAUCAUAUUAUUUUUGGACCUACAAAUCUACACACUCCUGUCCAUUACCGGGCCGGCAAUAAUUGAGUAGAGCCCAAUAACGAGAUACAGAGGCCUGAACUUCUAGCAACAUAGCAGCGAAACGGCAUCUCAAGAGCAGGAAGUCAGGAACUGCAGUCAACGAUUCGAAGAGAUGCAGAAAGCAUUGAGAGUGUAUGGACAGGUUCUUCGGCUAGUGAGGCGGCUACCAAAGGACUCAAGGCCUUAUUACGCUAAAUACGCACGCGAAAACUUCGUCAACUACAGAGAUGUCGAAGUCAGUGACACACAAUUCCUCGACGAGCUUUUCCUUCGAGCAUAUAACCACUCCCUAUGGGUUCUCAACAAGUAUUCGGUCGAUGAAUCAACUGCUAAUAAGCUAAAGGAAAUUUGUUGCGGCUGAAAAAGCAACAAUGAGUGUGUUUACCAGCUGUUCGAUGCCAUGCCUCAGUGAGUAGGCACGCUUUCUUUUCUGUUCCAAACGCAAUUUGUUGUGCUUAUUUCUAUAAUUUUAAGAUAUUAAUGCUUGCCGAAUAGCGACAGAUUGUUACGAUCAAGAAACAUGGUCGAUCGAAUGAAGCAUCUCAUUUUGAUCUA